rnacentral:lncRNA from 1 species
CUUUUCUUUUUGUUUUUGGUAAAGUGUCGACUGUAACGCUCUAAUAAUUUCACAUCAGAUGAAAAAAUAAUUUUAAUAAGAAUAUAUGAGGACUGCACACUAGUAAUAAUAACUGGGUUUAAACAUUUUGCGCCGGUGGUUUUGGCCCAAUAAGUUAUUCUUGCUAACGGGUCGGAUCGUUACGAUUGGUAUUAGAUCCGAAUACAGUCGAAAGUGUGAGUGCUAAGUGCCAUGCGACGCAAAGUGCUGCACCAACGGAUUAAGUAGGAGUCACUUCUCGAACUCGUAGGAACCACCUUGAAAAUCUUAUAUCACUUGAUAAUUCUAGCCUGCAUCUGGUUUGGAUCUGACGAGAACAUUAGGGUCUAAAUAAGAAGAGUUUGUAACGGCCCAAUGAUCCCACAUCGGGUGGGAAAAUGAUUAUGAUAAGAAUAUAUAAAGCCUAAUAAUAACUUGAUUUAAAUAUUUUGGACCGAUGAUUUAGACUUGCACGGUAGUAGUAAUAACUGGAUUUAAGCAUUUUGGGCCGAUAGUUUGGACCUAACGAGUUAUUGUUGCGAGCGGGUCGAACCUUUAUAUCAUUUUGGGCCGAAUGUUUGAACCUAACGAAUUAUUAUUGCUGGCGGAUCGGACCGUUAUAUCGACAAAGAUGAAAGAAAUGGAUGAUUGCGCUAUGUGAUGAUAGGGAUGAUU